rnacentral:lncRNA from 1 species
AUAAAAACCUGGCUGGACUCAUCUGCUGAACAGCUCAAGCCCUCUACAAAAAGCCAGAUGUGCUGGAGUGCAGGUUAGUAUUCUAAAGAAUUGUCCACAAGAAGCUCAGGUGAAAUCCUACACAGUUUUUACAUGACCCUUCUCAGGCUUUGGAGAUUCCAGAAGAAUGAGGUGGGGCACAAGUGCAUGCUAAGAGAGAAGAUUGGUCCCAAAAGAGCUUACAGUCUGCGUAAUGAGAGGGAACAAAAUGUCUCCCAGCAGUGCUGCUUAUAGAUGUGGUUGCUUGGGAAGAUGUGACAGAUGCAAAGCCUCUGCCAUUUGUUCUGUCAUCCCUGCUAUUUAUAACACUGGGAUCAACCAAUUAGGGAACAAGCUGAGGAAAGAGAGAAAGAAAGAAAAAAAGGUGUCAGAGGUGACCAAUCAUAUGCCAUAAACAGUGAAUCAGGAUUAGUGGACAUUCGUAGCCAGCAGCUUGCAAGAAAUCUAUAGGUUCAAAAUUGUUUGCACAAAUUGCUCAAUGGGCAAGUGCAAAGACACCAAUUUAUAAAGGUCACACUCUACCCUUGCAGACUUCUCAAGCAGAAAAAUGAAAGGAGGGGGACAAAAUUAGUUGCAUAAAUUAUUUGCAAUGAAUGUUCUGAAAAGCUCUUGUUGUUUUUGUUGUCACUUCUUACCCUAAUGUCAAUUACUCAGAGCCAGAUAUUAGCACACAUUGAUGACAACAAUCUCUCCGGGUCCUGAGGCAACAAGUAAUGAGUGAAGGUAAAAGAUCUAUGCUAAAUGUGUGUUUAAU